CAGAGGGUGCGAGCGUUAAUCGGAAUUACUGGGCGUAAAGCGCGCGUAGGCGGCUUUGCAAGUCGGGUGUGAAAUCCCCAGGCUUAACCUGGGAACUGCAUUCGAGACUGCAUUGCUAGAGUAUGGGAGAGGGAAGUGGAAUUUCCGGUGUAGCGGUGAAAUGCGUAGAUAUCGGAAGGAACAUCAGUGGCGAAAGCGACUUCCUGGACCAAUACUGACGCUCAUGUGCGAAAGCGUGGGGAGCAAACAGGAUUAGAUACCCUGGUAGUCCACGCCAUAAACGAUGACAACUGGAUGUCGGGAGGGUCUGCCUCUCGGUGUCGUAGCUAACGCGUUAAGUUGCCCGCCUGGGGGAGUACGGCCGCAAGGUUG
rnacentral:rRNA from 1 species